rnacentral:rRNA from 1 species
AUUGAACGCUGGCGGCAUGCUUUACACAUGCAAGUCGAACGGCAGCACGGGCUUCGGCCUGGUGGCGAGUGGCGAACGGGUGAGUAAUAUAUCGGAACGUACCCAGAAGUGGGGGAUAACGUAGCGAAAGUUACGCUAAUACCGCAUACGAUCUAUGGAUGAAAGCCGGGGACCGCAAGGCCUUGUGCUCCUGGAGCGGCCGAUAUCUGAUUAGCUAGUUGGUGAGGUAAAGGCUCACCAAGGCGACGAUCAGUAGCUGGUCUGAGAGGACGACCAGCCACACUGGAACUGAGACACGGUCCAGACUCCUACGGGAGGCAGCAGUGGGGAAUUUUGGACAAUGGGCGCAAGCCUGAUCCAGCAAUGCCGCGUGAGUGAAGAAGGCCUUCGGGUUGUAAAGCUCUUUUGUCAGGGAAGAAACGGUAGAGGCUAAUAUCCUUUGCUAAUGACGGUACCUGAAGAAUAAGCACCGGCUAACUACGUG